GGCUGUUUCCAUUGCAUCAGUUGAGCGCUCGCCUGUGCCAAAGAGUUCCAGGAAGAAGCUAAAUACUUAACAUUACCUUAGAGAGGACACUCAACCAGGUUCCGGAGGAUCAAGGAAAUAUCAGAUGACACACCGGGUUUCUGUGACAUCCAUCUACGAGGGAGAACACGUCAUGAGGAUGUUUGUGAACUGUCUGUUAUUUAAAGGUUUACGUGGUUGGGAACUUUAAUGAUCCUGGAUAAAAAGCAAGGAUAGAGUUUACACUGAAAAUAUGAUAAUUCAGUCUCUUGCUGUAUGGCUAUCUCAAGCAGCCAAAUAACUUAGCUUAGCUAGGCACAAAGACUGGGAACAGGGGGAAACUGUUCUGAAAACAUCAUAUCACAACUGUUUAAAUAAAAUCAGCUUUAAAUUAAUCAAACCACUUUAUAAUUUAUCAGUCAAUUUUUCAUUUCACAUCCUAUUUUUCAGUUGCCAUGCAUUUACAACCUCCAUUUUGAUCAAUUAAAUUUUGUUACUUCUAUCCCUCAUA